GAGGGCAUAGCUCAGUGGUAGAGCACGUACUUAGCACGCAUGAAGACCUAGGCUCAACCCCCAGUACCUCCA
rnacentral:tRNA from 1 species